rnacentral:rRNA from 1 species
AGUGAACGCUGGCGGUAGGCCUAACACAUGCAAGUCGAACGGCAGCACAGUAAGAGCUUGCUCUUACGGGUGGCGAGUGGCGGACGGGUGAGGAAUACAUCGGAAUCUACUUUUUCGUGGGGGAUAACGUAGGGAAACUUACGCUAAUACCGCAUACGACCUACGGGUGAAAGCAGGGGAUCUUCGGACCUUGCGCGAUUGAAUGAGCCGAUGUCGGAUUAGCUAGUUGGCGGGGUAAAGGCCCACCAAGGCGACGAUCCGUAGCUGGUCUGAGAGGAUGAUCAGCCACACUGGAACUGAGACACGGUCCAGACUCCUACGGGAGGCAGCAGUGGGGAAUAUUAGACAAUGGGCGCAAGCCUGAUCCAGCCAUACCGCGUGGGUGAAGAAGGCCUUCGGGUUGCAAAGCCCUUUUGUUGGGAAAGAAAAGCAGCAGGUUAAUACCCCGCUGUUCUGACGGUACCCAAAGAAUAAGCACCGGCUAACUUCGUG